rnacentral:pre_miRNA from 1 species
ACUCUUUCCCUGUUGCACUACUGUGCCAGUGAAUAAAGCAGUGCAAUGAUGAAAGGGCAU